rnacentral:rRNA from 1 species
GCCGCGGUAAUACGAAGGGUGCAAGCGUUACUCGGAAUUACUGGGCGUAAAGCGCACGUAGGCGGCACUGCAAGUCAGGGGUGAAAUCCCGGGGCUCAACCCCGGAACUGCCUUUAAUACUGCCGGUCUAGAGUCCGAGAGAGGUGAGUGGAAUUCCGAGUGUAGAGGUGAAAUUCGUAGAUAUUCGGAGGAACACCAGUGGCGAAGGCGGCUCACUGGCUCGGUACUGACGCUGAGGUGCGAAAGCGUGGGGAGCAAACAG